GGAAGAACACUUUGCCAUUGCGAAUUGCGAAGGUUGAUGCUGCGCUGAAGAAAUACACGCAGCAAACCGGGGGACCUGCAUUCGAGCUUCAUGUUAUAUGUGGCUUAAAUAGGAACGUAGGCAGCUCUUGGGGUCUCCAUUACGGACCGGGGCAUAUGCGUCCAAGAAAAACUCAGUAUUCUCACAUCAACUUUCUGGCCAGCCCGACAGAUUUGCACUCUUCUAACGCAGUUCCUAUCCUGUUCUUUGCUGAGUGCUCUAACGAUGAAGAUGUGACUGAUGAAUCAUCCUGUCAUGGGGCACCCUGAUGGUCGUUGUUUCUAUUGUGAGAACGAAGUGGCUAAGAUUGUCCAUCCGGACUCAGAAAAAUACAAUGGCUGUGACAUUGCCUUUGAGAGGAUGGCUUGCGAGGACUUACGCCCUGUUUGUAUACGCUUUUCUGGAACUCGCUUAUCUGUCAAGUAAGCUUAUUUGAUAAGUCUGCUGUCUGGAGAAUCUACUGUCUGAAUAAGCAGGGUGUUUGGCAAUCCUGAUUAUUUUGUGUC